rnacentral:tRNA from 1 species
UAUUUUUUAGUUUAACUAAAAACUUUACAAUUUCAAUGUAAAAAUAAUAGAAUCUAUUAAAAAUAU